UGUGGGCGGAAGCAGGGAAUUCGAGAGCUGGGCGCUGAAACAGAGAUUGACGCUGAGAAUGCAGAAUAGCUUGUGUUGAGGGGUUUGGAGGUCAGUCCUGAGAAAUCCACAAGUCAGGUACUCUCUUUUGUCCUGCGUCUUUCGUUGCCGGUCCCCUCCCACGGAGAGUUGUUACCGUGAGUCCCUCCUGUGUCCCUGGCUGUCGCAGACCUGGUGGAGGGAUGAGGUCUGGAUUAUGGUAAUGAUUCUGAAGACAAAGAUUCCGCCAGAAACUUAUGUCCUCAGCUGGUAGCUCACAGGUCUCUAUAUCUAACAGUUUUGCUCCCGUCCUUUUGGUCUUGGGAACUGGAAUCUAUCUCCCUUAGGGUUAGAUGCUAACAGUAAACCACGACUAUGUCAGAAGUUGAGUUGGUGUUUACACCCAUGAACAGUGAAAUCAUUGCUCUUAGAACUCUCCCACUUUCUUCAAAUAGGAUAGAUAGAUAGAUAGAUAGAUAGAUAGAUAGAUAGAUAGAUAGAUAGAUAGAUAAACUUUCUGUCGACCCGCUGGCUUCUACCUCCCAAUGACUGGAUCUUGAUAACCCAGUAAAAAGAAACUUAAUCUUAGUGAAAAUUUCACACUAUUAAAUAGGGAAUGAUUCCAGAAUUAUUCCCCUGGUAUUAGGUACAUGACAGAUAAGCAGUCAGACAGACAUGCAGACGUUUAGAGACACACAUAUAAGCAACGAGCCAAGUGGGUAAUAGAAAAAGAUUUGGUACUUUGAAUUUGAAAGCAGAGCUUUCUCCUCAAACACACUUCAGAUGAAAAGAUGAUACUUGCACUGCCGGCGACUUGCACUGCCCAGGCCUCUUCACUUCUUAAGCUGGACAUUUGCUGAGAGCACUGAUCUAGCACAGACUCAUACAAGCUCUGGAUGCAGUUUCAGUCUCUGUGCGCCCUCUACGCCCAAAGCAUCAAUAUUUAUUAGUGCUUUUUGAAAGGUUACUGAUAUUUUUCCUCUGGCCAUUUCUGAUGGAGAUAGUUUUACUACAUAAGUUUAAAGCAUCAUUUAGGGCUUGUGUAACAAAAUGCCAUACUUCUGAAGGCUGGAAGUCCAAAGUCAAAUGCAGGAAGAGUUGAUGACUUCUACCCCUACCCUGCCCCCUUAGCCUGGAGACUGCCGUUUUUCUCUGUACCCUCACACUGCUUUCUCUCACCCCAGGUCAGUUCAUCCUCCACACAGCUAUGAGGAGCACAACAGAUCUGUUGCAUUAGGACCUUCCCCUUCUUCCUCUAAUGGAUAUUUCUUUUUCUCAACAGCUCUGAAAACAGUAAGUUUAAAUUUACCUCUGUUUGCUAAGUCGGUUUGUUUCAACAGUUUCUUCUUAUUGGCUCCUCAGGCAAGAGUCUUUUCUGGUAAUUGAUCUUAGUUAACAUUUCGUGUUCAAGCCUGAAGACCUGAGCUGAUUUUUCUGCAUGAUCUGUGUUAUUUCCUGAUCCCCUCUCACUGUUGUAAGUGGAUUUGUUUCCGUCUAAGUCUGCAUCCAUUUUUCCCUGAGUUACUUGUUACGUUUCUUUAGAGACAAGAAUACAGUUUUGUGAAGAAAGUCAUCCCCAACCUGCCUUUGCUGGUGCAGGGGAAUGGCAGUUAUGAGUGUCAACUUCCCCUACUUCCUGUCUUACCCUUUCACUGCAACAGGCAGCCACACACACAAACAACUUCUGGACCAGCAAUUCCCAUCUCUGUUGUGCUUCUGUCUUGAAAUUAUCUGGGGAAACAAGUCCCCUUUGAUGUGUUUAUUAAAAGAUAAAGAUAAAGGGGGUAUAUUCUAUGGGGGUGCGGUGAGGUAUGGGGAAGGGGGUGUCUCAGUGGGCCCAUGCUGAGGCAUCCUUUCCCCCUGAGAAACCAGCCACACGAUGGUAUAGAAUAGAAUAGAGUUUAUUCAAGGCAUGGGAGGAGAGUUAAGAUGGUAGUAGAGUCAGAGAGAGAGAGAGAGAAAGAGAAGAGAAGUAGAGGAGGCUGGAGAAGUGGAGAGAGGGGUAAUGGAAGGGAAUGGGGAAGGGGAGAGCAAGAGAGAACAAGAGAGCAAGAGAGGGAGGAGAGGGCAAGCAGCACCUUUUAUAGUGGGUCAGGCCUAUCUGGAUGUUGCCAGGUAACUGUGGGGUGGAGUUUAGACAGAAUGCUAACACCUUUAUCAACACAUUUCCAUCCACUCUCUGAAUUUUCUAGAAAUUAGUUUUUACCCUUGUUUGAGAGAAGGAAAAAACUGUGUUUUGCUGCUCUUAUAACAUUCAACACAUUAUACUUCCAAAACUUGCUGGAGGCGGCCAAUUUCACAUCCCAAACCAUUCUCCAGCAGGUACCAGCUUCGUCCUACAGUUUAUCUCACUUGUGACACUGUACAGAUGCGGUUAACAUCAGAUCCCACAAGUAAGGGACCUCAGUGCAUGCCCAAGACUCCUCCACUCCAGGUGUUCACCAAUCUCAAAGUUGUAAAUGGGUUCUCAUCAGAGCCUCUGAGGGCAGGCUAUAAACACUAUUGUCAAAUCCA
ensembl:processed_transcript